rnacentral:sRNA from 1 species
AAAUGUGAGAGCAAUCUGACUGUGACAUCCGUCAUGUCAUUGAUAGCCAGGAUUGAUUCAGCUAUUCUGACUGGUGAGGCAGGUGUCCCCUUCCUCCCUCACCACUACAUGUGUGUCCCUCCCAAACCUGCAUACGAAAUCAAAAGAACGGCUUUCUUCCAUGGAGGAUCAUUCUUCAGCUGAAUAAGUAUGUCUCACUGUUAACACAUUUUGAAAUUUUUAUGUAUUGAACUGUUCA